CAAAUUAAAUGAUGACAGAUGAUUUAGAGACACUUUUACCCUACAAAAAACCAAAAAACAAAAAAACCCACCCCCAAAGUUCAUUUAUACUGGACAAUUUUGGAGAACUACAAAGUUUUUUUAAAAAUUUAUUUUAACUGAAGGGUAAUUGCUUUACAGUAUUGUGUUGGUUUCUACCAAACAUCAACGUGAAUCUCCAAAGGUCAACUUGAAUGCUGAUGGGUUUACCUACGUCCCCUCCCACCUCCCUCCCCAUCCCACCCCUCUAGGUUCUUAAGUUUUCGUUCCCUGAGUCAUACAGCAAAUUCCCAUUGGCUAUCUAGUUUACAUAUGGCAGUGAUGUUUUCAUAUUACUCUCUCCAUAUGCACCCCCCACUUCCUCCCCACAAAGCUGUGUUAGUAAGUCUCUUAGAGAACUACAAAGUUUUUAUACUUGCUGCACAUUGGAAAGAAAAUGUCAACAACUAGUUUCUUUUGUACCAUAUCUAUACACAGGAAAAAAAAAAAACUUGUUAAAAGGAAAAGAGGUUUCUGUAUUGUUAAUAUUUGACAGUUAAAGGGUUCCUUUUAAAUAUUUAACUUAAGGUUAAAUAUCCAUCUCUUACAGUUAUUAGACACAUCUUCAUAUCAAGGGUAAUAUACAAAGCACAGCAAUGUAACUCAAGUAUACUUCUUUAAAAACUUGGAAAAAUAUACUAAGAAUAUAUGAUUUAUAAUUUAAAAAAUUUAGAAAAGUGUGGGUAAACAAAGCUGAUGCAGUCAUUUGAAGGGUCCAGAUGAAACACCAUGGACUCAACAAUCUGGUACAGUCCACAUACAAACUUUCUUCUGCUGUUAAUGAUGAAGUCAAGCUGAAGGACAGAAAUUUGUACUCUGGAUGCUCCAGGCUCUUCCAUGCAACUGACUGGUCUUCUCUUGUUUUUUUCCAUCAUGUUUUAAAUAAAAGUAAAUAUAUAUAUAUUUUACAUAUAUUUUAUGUAAAAAAUUUAAUUGGUACAAGAAGAUUUAAAAUAAUCAGUAAAUAUCCUUUUCGCCCAUAACCUAGAAAAUCUGAUGUCUUCCAAAUCAUCAGUUACAUGAAUAAUUUGCAAAGUGAAGUCAACCUUAGAGUCUCUUCAUCUGAAAAUUAUUCUCAGGAUUUCUGGAAUGUGUUGAUUCUCUCAUAUAUUACCUCUGUUACAGAGGAAAGCCAUGCAGUUUUCUAAAAAAAAACUACGAAAGCAACUCACUCGCUCUGCUCCGAGACAGCAAGUCCAGGCAACACCUUGUACUCCGUGGAUCUGGUCCUGGCUACAGGCAGAGGCUCUGGUAUCAACCAGAGACUCAGGGCGGGUGCCAGAGCUCGGCCCAGCCUUUCUGAAUGCCUCGGAUCCUCCGGGCCAGCUGCACAUCCUUCGGGAAGAGUGUGAUGCGGCCGGCGUGUAAGGAGAGCAGAUAGGCAUCCUCGAAGAAAUGAACUAGAAACGCUUCUGCCGCCUCUUGUAGGGCCAACAGGGCCUGGGCUUGCCAACUGAAGUCCACACCGCGAAUGAACUGAACACAGAUUUCUCUUGCCAGGCGGCAGAAGGGGGACUUUCUUAACAGCAGGUGUGUGGUCUUCUGAAGAGCUCGGCCCUCCUUCAGGAUUCCAUGUCUCCGGCGAGCAAGCGGACAGAGGACGGGCCAGCCGGCGGGCCUUGGAGCCGGGCUCGCGGGGCCCCCGCCUCCUUGGUGUUUCAGGCUUGCGGCCCCGUGGCUCCUAGAUCUUCUGGGUCCGGGGGCAGAGGCGGGGAGGGCCAGGGUGCUGUUCCAAUUCCUGAUAAAACUUUAAACAUAAAACAUACCUUCCUUUUUAUUUCACAGGUAGUAUCUCUGUCAAAGGCAGGAUGAGUAAAACAAACUUCUACAUUUAAGGUUAUCUUUGAAAUAUUUAUGAGUAUGCUCAAGGAUAAAAAGGCUUUGACUGCUUGCUGCUAAAACAAUCAGUGAAGCUGAUUUUCUUCUAGAAUAUUAUUUAGUAUUACCCUUGUUUUGUUAUGUUAUUAUAGAAUAUUAUACAAUUCUUCUUCAAUAAAAUAAAGAAAACUAUUUUGUUAUUGCCUAGA
rnacentral:lncRNA from 1 species